rnacentral:rRNA from 1 species
GGAGGAAAGCAGGGGAUCGCAAGACCUUGCGCCCAUUGAGCGGCCGAUGCCUGAUUAGCUAGUUGGUGAGGUAAAGGCUUACCAAGGCGACGAUCAGUAGCUGGUCUGAGAGGACGACCAGCCACACUGGGACUGAGACACGGCCCAGACUCCUACGGGAGGCAGCAGUGGGGAAUUUUGGACAAUGGGGGAAACCCUGAUCCAGCCAUGCCGCGUGAGUGAAGAAGGCCUUCGGGUUGUAAAGCUCUUUCAGCCGGAACGAAACGGUCACGGCUAAUACCUGUGACUACUGACGGUACCGGAAGAAGAAGCACCGGCUAACUACGUGCCAGCAGCCGCGGUGAUACGUAGGGUGCGAGCGUUAAUCUAAAUUACUGGGCG